rnacentral:rRNA from 1 species
CCUACGGGAGGCAGCAGUGAGGAAUAUUGGUCAAUGGACGCAAGUCUGAACCAGCCAUGCCGCGUGCAGGAAGACGGCUCUAUGAGUUGUAAACUGCUUUUGUACGAGGGUAAAUCCCGAUACGUGUAUCGGGUUGAAAGUAUCGUACGAAUAAGGAUCGGCUAACUCCGUGCCAGCAGCCGCGGUAAUACGGAGGAUCCAAGCGUUAUCCGGAUUUAUUGGGUUUAAAGGGUGCGUAGGCGGAUUGAUAAGUUAGAGGUGAAAUGUCCGAGCUCAACUCGGGAACUGCCUCUAAUACUGUUGAUCUAGAGAGUAGAUGCGGUAGGCGGAAUGUAUGGUGUAGCGGUGAAAUGCUUAGAGAUCAUACAGAACACCGAUUGCGAAGGCAGCUUACCAAUCUAUAUCUGACGUUGAGGCACGAAAGCGUGGGGAGCAAACAGGAUUAGAUACCCUUGUAGUC